GACGAACGCUGGCGGCGUGCCUAAUACAUGCAAGUCGAGCGCAGGAAGCUCACGGAACUCUUCGGAGGGAAGUGAAGGGAAUGAGCGGCGGACGGGUGAGUAACACGUAAGGAACCUGCCCCAAGGAUUGGGAUAACUCCGAGAAAUCGGAGCUAAUACCGAAUAGUUCUUCAGACCGCAUGGUCUGAUGAUGAAAGGCGCUUCGGCGUCACCUUGGGAUGGCCUUGCGGUGCAUUAGCUAGUUGGUGGGGUAAUGGCCCACCAAGGCGACGAUGCAUAGCCGACCUGAGAGGGUGAUCGGCCACACUGGGACUGAGACACGGCCCAGACUCCUACGGGAGGCAGCAGUAGGGAAUCUUCCACAAUGGACGAAAGUCUGAUGGAGCAACGCCGCGUGAGUGAUGAAGGUUUUCGGAUCGUAAAACUCUGUUGUAAGGGAAGAACAGGUAUGAGAGGUAAUGCUCAUGCUAUGACGGUACCUUGCGAGAAAGCCACGGCUAACUACGUGCCAGCCGCCGCCGUAACAC
rnacentral:rRNA from 1 species